UCCCCGGACUACUUUGGAAUGUCCACAAAUCAGAAGCAGACUCAAACCAGAGGAAUAAAAAUGUGUCAUCCUCUGAAUCAUCUCACCCCAGAAAUAUGAAGAAGCCAGCCCUGCUAUUCAUGAAGCUUCUUUCUCAAUGUUUCCUGUAGGUGUGGAAGCAGCAGCUGCCGCCCUGAGAGACCAGAUACCUUAUCUGAGGACUCCACGCACCCCUGCUUGGUGAGCCUUCAUGUUACAGAAAGCAAACCUCAUCCAGCCCUAUCCUCAAAAUACUGUCUGGGGAAUUGCGUGUUUAUGGACUAAACCUGGAUAGUACACAUGAUAAAAGAACAUAGUCCCUGGAUGCAAAAUGAAUAAGUAAGAUAUACCUCACAGAAGCACACCUAUUGCAAAUCUGGAGCCUCAAGUUUAAUUGCCUUGAACUUGAACAGUGACAGAGCAAGAAAGGUAAAACACCAUAGAGGUUGCAGAAUAUCCUGCUUGAAGAGGAAGAAGAAGGGGAAGAUGACAGCCAAGAGGACAUUUCUGCUGUGCCUUGAAGGACGGACUGAAUUUUUCCAGGUAGAGAUGGGACUGGUAGUGUGGAUCUGGAACAGCAUGAAAAAACACACAUGGUUAAGAAAGGACACAGCACAUGCAGAGAAAAUGAGACACCUGGUACACGAAAGGAAACAGCACCCAGAAAUUAAGCAUUAACUUAUUUACUGGAGAGCAAUUGAGUUACACUAAUCAGUUACUUUCUUAGAGUUUCCUGCAUGGAGGGAUGAGAAAAACCAGGGCUCAGAGUGGCAUGGAUGUAAAUCCUAGCCUACAUGUAUAAAUCACUCAUUCGAUUAUGCACUUUUUUUUAAGUUUUCUUUUUAAAAUUUUUUUAAAAAUCCAAGUU